rnacentral:tRNA from 1 species
GGUUAUGUGGUGGAAUUGGUAGACACGCUAGACUUAGGAUCUAGUUCUUAAAAGAGUGCAGGUUCGAGUCCUGCUAUAACUA